GGGUGGCGAGUGGCGGACGGGUGAGGAAUACAUCGGAAUCUACUUUUUCGUGGGGGAUAACGUAGGGAAACUUACGCUAAUACCGCAUACGACCUACGGGUGAAAGCAGGGGACCUUCGGGCCUUGCGCGAUUGAAUGAGCCGAUGUCGGAUUAGCUAGUUGGCGGGGUAAAGGCCCACCAAGGCGACGAUCCGUAGCUGGUCUGAGAGGAUGAUCAGCCACACUGGAACUGAGACACGGUCCAGACUCCUACGGGAGGCAGCAGUGGGGAAUAUUGGACAAUGGGCGCAAGCCUGAUCCAGCCAUACCGCGUGGGUGAAGAAGGCCUUCGGGUUGUAAAGCCCUUUUGUUGGGAAAGAAAUCCAGCCGGCUAAUACCUGGUUGGGAUGACGUACCCAAAGAAUAAGCAC
rnacentral:rRNA from 1 species